UACAGGGGGGGCAAGCGUUGUUCGGAAUUACUGGGCGUAAAGGGUUCGUAGGUGGCCACUUAAGUCAGACGUGAAAUCCCUCAGCUUAACUGGGGAACUGCGUCUGAUACUGAGUGGCUUGAGUGCAGGAGAGGAAUGCGGAAUUCCAGGUGUAGCGGUGAAAUUCGUAGAUAUCAAGCGGAACACCGGUGGCGAAGGCGGCCUUCUGGACAGUGACUGACGCUGAGACGCGAAAGCGUGGGGAGCAAACAGG
rnacentral:rRNA from 1 species